UACGAAGGGGGCUAGCGUUGUUCGGAAUUACUGGGCGUAAAGCGCACGUAGGCGGAUAUUUAAGUCGGGGGUGAAAUCCUGGAGCUCAACUCCAGAACUGCCUUCGAUACUGGAGAGCUCGAGUCCGGGAGAGGUGAGUGGAACUGCGAGUGUAGAGGUGAAAUUCGUAGAUAUUCGCAAGAACACCAGUGGCGAAGGCGGCUCACUGGCCCGGUACUGACGCUGAGGUGCGAAAGCGUGGGGAGCAAACAGG
rnacentral:rRNA from 1 species